UCUGAAUCUGCGAACGGCUCCGCAAACCAGUUGUAAACCAAAGCAAGCAUACUCGUGGUCUGCCCUUCACGGGGUGGGCUGCGGGUGAUACGGAUAACCCUGGUAAUUCUGAGGCUAAUACGAGACUGUACUCCCUGGCUAACCGGGCAACUGGUAGGCUGGGGGGCGUGUGAUCUAUUUGCAAGAUGAUUCCAGGAAGGGGUGCACGCUCUGACCGCGAUAAAGACAGUUCUGGUGGACCCUCACGGGCGAGCCAGUUCUGAGCGGCUCUUGCGAUGUGCUUCUGACCUAUCAACUAGAUGGCAGCGUAACGGACAUGCCAUGGU
rnacentral:rRNA from 2 species